GGGUUGUGAGGUUAAGCGACUAAGCGUACACGGUGGAUGCCCUGGCAGUCAGAGGCGAUGAAGGGCGUGCUAAUCUGCGAUAAGCGCCGGUAAGGUGAUAUGAACCGUUAUAACCGGCGAUACCCGAAUGGGGAAACCCAGUGUGACUCGUCACACUAUCAUUAACUGAAUCCAUAGGUUAAUGAGGCGAACCGGGGGAACUGAAACAUCUAAGUACCCCGAGGAAAAGAAAUCAACCGAGAUUCCCCCAGUAGCGGCGAGCGAACGGGGAGGAGCCCAGAGCCUGAAUCAGCAUGUGUGUUAGUGGAAGCGUCUGGAAAGACGCGCGAUACAGGGUGACAGCCCCGUACACAAAAGCGCAUGUGUUGUGAGCUCGAUGAGUAGGGCGGGACACGUGGUAUCCUGUCUGAAUAUGGGGGGACCAUCCUCCAAGGCUAAAUACUCCUGACUGACCGAUAGUGAACCAGUACCGUGAGGGAAAGGCGAAAAGAACCCCGGCGAGGGGAGUGAAAAAGAACCUGAAACCGUGUACGUACAAGCAGUGGGAGCACAGGUUUACCUGUGUGACUGCGUACCUUUUGUAUAAUGGGUCAGCGACUUAUAUUCUGUAGCAAGGUUAACCGAAUAGGGGAGCCGGAGGGAAACCGAGUCUUAAUUGGGCGUUAAGUUGCAGGGUAUAGACCCGAAACCCGGUGAUCUAGCCAUGGGCAGGUUGAAGGUUGGGUAACACUAACUGGAGGACCGAACCGACUAAUGUUGAAAAAUUAGCGGAUGACCUGUGGCUGGGGGUGAAAGGCCAAUCAAACCGGGAGAUAGCUGGUUCUCCCCGAAAGCUAUUUAGGUAGCGCCUCGUGAACUCAUCUCCGGGGGUAGAGCACUGUUUCGGCUAGGGGGCCAUCCCGGCUUACCAACCCGAUGCAAACUGCGAAUACCGGAGAAUGUUAUCACGGGAGACACACGGCGGGUGCUAACGUCCGUCGUGAAGAGGGAAACAACCCAGACCGCCAGCUAAGGUCCCAAAGUCAUGGUUAAGUGGGAAACGAUGUGGGAAGGCCCAGACAGCCAGGAUGUUGGCUUAGAAGCAGCCAUCAUUUAAAGAAAGCGUAAUAGCUCACUGGUCGAGUCGGCCUGCGCGGAAGAUGUAACGGGGCUAAACCAUGCACCGAAGCUGCGGCAGCGACACUCAGGUGUUGUUGGGUAGGGGAGCGUUCUGUAAGCCUGUGAAGGUGUGUCGUGAGGCAUGCUGGAGGUAUCAGAAGUGCGAAUGCUGACAUAAGUAACGAUAAAGCGGGUGAAAAGCCCGCUCGCCGGAAGACCAAGGGUUCCUGUCCAACGUUAAUCGGGGCAGGGUGAGUCGACCCCUAAGGCGAGGCCGAAAGGCGUAGUCGAUGGGAAACGGGUUAAUAUUCCCGUACUUGGUGUUACUGCGAAGGGGGGACGGAGAAGGCUAUGUUGGCCGGGCGACGGUUGUCCCGGUUUAAGCGUGUAGGUGUGUGUUCCAGGUAAAUCCGGUUCACUUUAACACUGAGGCGUGA
rnacentral:rRNA from 1 species